UUCCGGUUGAUCCUGCCGGACCCCACUGCUAUCGGGAUAGGACUAAGACAUGCUAGUCGAGUGCUUCAGCACGAGGCACGGCGAACAGCUCAGUAGCACGUGGCUAAUCUGCCCUUAGGACGAGAAUAACCCCGGGAAACUGGGGCUAAUUCGCGAUAGGCGAAGAACACUGGAAUGUGUCUUCACCUAAAAGACCCUGCGUAUUGCUCGUAGAAGUCGCCUAAGGAUGAGGCCGCGGCCGAUCAGGUUGUUGGUGAGGUAAUGGCUCACCAAGCCUUUUACCGGUGCGGGCCGUGGGAGCGGGAGCCCGGAGAUGGGUACUGAGACAAGGACCCAGGCCCUACGGGGCGCAGCAGUCGCGAAACCUUUGCAAUACACGAAAGUGCGACAGGGCUAUCCCGAGUGCCAUCCGCUGAGGAAGGCUUUUACCCAGUUUAGAAAGCUGGGGGAAUAAGGAGAGGGCAAGUCUGGUGUCAGCCGCCGCGGUAAUACCAGCUCUUCGAGUGGUGUGGAUGUUUAUUGGGCCUAAAGCAUCCGUAGCUGGCUAAGUUAGUCCCUUGUUAAAUCCACCGAAUUAAUCGUUGGAUCGCGGGGGAUACUGCUUGGCUAGGGGACGAGAGAGGCAGACGGUAUUUUUGGGGUAGGGGUGAAAUCCUGUAAUCCCAGGAAGACCACCAGUGGCGAAGGCUGUCUGCUAGAACGCGCCCGACGGUGAGGGAUGAAAGCUGGGGGAGCGAACCGGAUUAGAUACCCGGGUAGUCCCAGCUGUAAACGAUGCANGCUAGGUGUUUGGACGGCCACGUGCCGUUCUAGUGCCGCAGGGAAGCUGUUAAGCCUGCCGCCUGGGGAGUACGAUCGCAAGAUUGAAACUUAAAGGAAUUGGCGGGGGAGCACCACAAGGGGUGAAGCUUGCGGUUUAAUUGGAGUCAACGCCGGG
rnacentral:rRNA from 1 species